AGCCAAUGGCAACCAGGACAACACAAGCCUUUGUACUGCAUUUUCAAGAGACUGAACCUCUGCCUGCUGUUGACCACUCCUAUGCAUUGCCUACAUCUCCCAUGGGUCUAGAGGCCAGACUCAGUGAAGCCUUGGCUAGGGUGGAGAGUCUGGAGUGAGAGAUGAGGAACAUGAAGGACUGAGAACAGAGAGCUAAGAACACGGUGCAUGGUCUUCUGGAGGAUCUGAGGGGGAAGAAAUGCAAAAAUUAAGAACUGAAAGAGGGGUUUGAUAACUACUCAGACAUGUCAAAACAGGGCCAAGAGCACACAAAAGACCAGAGGGAGUUUGCCCUCACUCUCUACCUACAUGGUCCAAAAGCAUAUAACUAUCUCCAUCUCAA